UUGAAACGCGCAAUAAGUUAACAACCUGCUGAAUAGAGUACCGUUGACAGUUGUACGCAAUCGAUAACCGUAUUUGUUGUGUUUCCAUCGUUCUCUAUUUUAAAUAAAAUUGUGGAAAAGAUACCGAAUACAUUGUUAUUAAUAAUUCUUCAUAAUAUGGGAAUUUUAUGUGCAUCUUGUUGUAAAGAAUCAUCUUCAUUUGAAGACACAACACCUGAUUUGGAAACAAGACGAAGAAGGCAAAUGGAAGCAGCCGAAAAAAGAAUAGCAGAACAGGAACAACGAGGUAUAAAAGAUAUUGAGUCGGUCAAAAGAAAACAAAAACGUAUUAUGGAACUUGAAAAACGUGAAGAAGAAGCUGGUAAUAUGAGUGGGCAAAGCAAACUUAAGUGGCAAAUGAAUUGAGUCAAGAAAAAUGGAUACAUAGAUAAAGUGCACUUAUUUAAAAACGAAUGAUUAUAUAUACAAAUAUUAUGUCUUGUAUAAAUGUGCAAAGACUAUUAAGAAAAUAGUAAAAUAUCUUAUCGGCUAUACUAUGUGAUAUAAUACUGAAUGUUUCGAAUUUCUAUUCUUUAAAAUAAUAGAUUUCUUUUUUUAAUCUAAAAAUACAUUUUAUUAUUUAAUACAACAGUUCAUGUUUUUCAUUAGGCAUCUUUUAUUAUAUAAUUCUAUAGCAUAUAAAAAAGACUUUUUUUUUUCUAUAUAACAAGUAUUUAUAACAAUGUUAUAUGAUGUUGUGUUUGCAUAUUUUAUAGCUUCUGUAUUAUUAUUACUGAGGCUUUUUUCUAUUGUAAUACUUUUCAAUUAAUAUCUCAUAUAUAUAUAUAUAUAUAUAUAUAUAUAUAUAUAUAUAUGUAUUACUUUUUUUUAAUGUAUCACUGUUACAGAGUUAUCUAUUUUCUUAUGUCUUAUCUAUUUUCUUAUAUAAAUGUGCAAGAAGACCAUACAAACUUGUGCAUAAUUUUAAUUAUUACAAGAAUAAUUAAAACUGUUUAUUAAAUAUUAACGCAACAACUGAAUGUUUCAUUAUUUGUAUCGAUAAUGUCCAUACUUUCAGAAAUAAUUCAUAUGUUAAUAUCAAUAAUUAUAAAAUGUAAAAUGAACUUUUGUAAAUGUAUUGAUCUGGAGAUAAAAGACUAAAUUUAUAGAUUAUUGUUUAAAAAUAAAUUCUAUACUAUGUGGAGAGAAAA